rnacentral:rRNA from 1 species
UGGGGAAUUUUGGACAAUGGGGGAAACCCUGAUCCAGCCAUCCCGCGUGUGCGAUGAAGGCCUUCGGGUUGUAAAGCACUUUUGGUAGGAAAGAAACGUCAUGGGUUAAUACCCCGUGAAACUGACGGUACCUGCAGAAUAAGCACCGGCUAACUACGUGCCAGCAGCCGCGGUAAUACGUAGGGUGCAAGCGUUAAUCGGAAUUACUGGGCGUAAAGCGUGCGCAGGCGGUUCGGAAAGAAAGAUGUGAAAUCACAGAGCUCAACUUUGGAACUGCAUUAUUAACUACCGGGCUAGAGUAUGUCAGAGGGAGGUGGAAUUCCGCGUGUAGGAGUGAAAUGCGUAGAUAUGCGGAGGAACACCGGUGGCGAAGGCAGCCUCCUGGGAUAACACUGACGCUCAUGCACGAAAGCGUGGGGAGCAAACAGG